rnacentral:rRNA from 1 species
AGUGAACGCUGGCGGUAGGCCUAACACAUGCAAGUCGAACGGCAGCACAGUAAGAGCUUGCUCUUACGGGUGGCGAGUGGCGGACGGGUGAGGAAUACAUCGGAAUCUACUUUUUCGUGGGGGAUAACGUAGGGAAACUUACGCUAAUACCGCAUACGACCUACGGGUGAAAGCAGGGGACCUUCGGGCCUUGCGCGAUUGAAGGAGCCGAUGUCGGAUUAGCGAGUUGGCGGGGUAAAGGCCCACCAAGGCGACGACCCGUAGCUGGUCUGAGAGGAUGAUCAGCCACACUGGAACUGAGACACGGUCCAGACUCCUAAGGGAGGCAGCAGUGGGGAAUAUUGGACAAUGGGCGCAAGCCUGAUCCAGCCAUACCGCGUGGGUGAAGAAGGCCUUCGGGUUGUAAAGCCCUUUUGUUGGGAAAGAAAUCCAGCCGGCUAAUACCUGGUUGGGAUGACGGUACCCAAAGAAUAAGCACCGGCUAACUUCGUGCCAGCAGCCGCGGUAACAC